rnacentral:lncRNA from 13 species
UAUCCCACCAGGGUGGCCAUAUUUCUUCUCACUGUGAGACACUGAUGUCUCUCAAAUUAAUGGAAGUAAAUUACUAUCUUAAUCUGACAAAUCUAUCGCUGUUUUAUCAAAUCAGUUUGCCAGCUCCCAAAUAGAUGAGGGGAAAUAGUAGAGGAGUAUCAGUGGACUUCUUUCAAAAGAGUCGUAGGCACCCAAUAAUCUAAAAGCCCAUUUGUCCCGACCUCUGCUGUCUUAGUCUCACUUCCUCGGAUCGAGUUCUUUAUGCAAAAAUACCUAUAGGAAGAAGCUUUAGGCAAUAACCACGCUUGAAGCCCAGAAAGGGAUGGACAUCUGCCAGCAUUUUCUGUCUGUUGCUCUACCUUUUCCAGCAUAAUGAAUCUGUGGCCUCCAGAGAACAUUCUACAAGGACUGUGACGCAGGACACCUGCAGGGAGACCUGGCUCUCAUGAGCAGCUUCCACUUUGUGUGCAGCCUCCUUUGCAAGCCAGACCCCAUGCAACCUGUUGAGAAACCACAUUGCCAUAACUAACCCAUCAAGUCAAUUCUACCACCCCAUGGUGGAAACGCUCAGUGUGUCUACUCCAAACCUUCUUUGUUGAAAUACUUGUGCCAUUUAUUUGGAGGCAUCCUAUAGCCAACCAGAGUGUUGGGGACUCCAUAGCCAUGUGGAAAAGCAUGCGCUCCUGUGCUUACUUCCGGGAUGACGGAAGCCAACCACCUGACUGGGAAUUGAACGACAGAAGCCGUGAAAUCACAGUGAAACUCCAUGACGU